CGCUCCCGCGCCUCGCACCUUUUCCUUUUUUUUCGUUCUCCUGCGUUGUUUCGGUGCGCGUGCGCGCAGGCCGACACCGACACCGACACACACACACACACACACACAGACACACCGGCGAAGAGUCGAAUAUUGCAGACAGACGUACGCCGACACAGCGCCGAUCAUCCGAUCACGCGUAUAAGCAGGAGCCUACGCCGACGGCUAUACACGCACAUGUAUAUACUCCCCCUCCUCCUCCUCCUCUUACCUCUCCGUUCGCAUAGACGCGCCCCCUCUUCUUUCUGGUGCGCUGCCCUUCGACGUAGUUCUUGCGCUCACCAUCGCUGUCGAGCGAAUUUGUGCGCGGCUCUUUGGCCUCUCCUCUAUCUUCCAUCUCGGUUUCCUGCGCACCAGCGUCCGGGGCGGGCCGCGGCACACCUCCACACACACACACACACACACACACACCACGACCACGACCACGACGACGACCAUCUUCUUUUCUGCCUCUACAUUACCACCCGCGCUUCAGCCACGCACAAGGAAACCAUAGGGUCUCCUUUUCAGCCCCACUCAGGUGCGUUGCUUCUCUUUCUUGCUCAACGGGCGCACGGCCAUCAAGGCAGGUCGCGAGAUCGACAGGUCCGACCCACCUCCCUGCGCACGCUCACAUCCGCAGACAUCACGCGUCACGCGUUGUGCUUCACGGCGCACGGCUUAUGCGCGUUCCCUUCCUCUUUUCUGCCGGCGGUCUCUCUCUCUGUCUGUCGUUGACGGGGCCGAAUAGUGAUCUUGUCUGUUUCUGGACAGCUACGCCACCCUCUCCAUCCCCGACCUCUAUCCUCAAUUAUUUUUGUGUGCCCGUUUCCGUGUCUUCUGUCUUUUUUUUUUUGCUAUUUUUCGGCGUGCCGUCGCGCCGCUUGCUCGCCGUGUCGUUCUCUCACUCUCUGCGAACACUUGUGGGCACGGCGCACGUAUCUGCAUGCGUGCUGAGCGCUUCGGGUUCUUGUGCUGGUUGCCCUCCCCUCCCCCUUCCCACACACAUACACACCCACAAACACACACACACACAGGCACAUCCAUCUUAUGGAUGCCUGGCCCAUCAAGGGGUCUCUAGCCGCUUAUCCGCAUCCAGCACCAACAGACAAGAGAACGCGCGUUGCAGCACCUGACGUUGAACUCUCUCUUCCUUUCUUGCGUUUCGGGCACUCUUUUCCCCUUCUGCGCUCACCCGCACGCAUCGUUGUGGGCCGCCGCCCUUCAUCCGGCAGAGGAGCUGUUUGACCUCCGCCUCCCUUCCCCCCUUGCCGAGGCGGGCGACACUCCCGUCUUCUUUCAUCUUUUCGUGUGUGUGUGUGUGCCUGCGCGCACCCGACACACAUCCCACCACGCUUGUAUUGUUUUGCUUUACUUCUUGUUCACGUCUCUGCGCCCUGUUGGCUCGCUGUCGUUGUCGGUUCUUCGACUUUGUGGGUGCUGCUGCGGUUGCUGUUUUCGUUUUCAAGCACGAGCCACCGACGCACCACCUCCGCCACCUCACCUCAGAAGCGCUCGCACGCGCCGACUCUGUCUAUCUGUCCGACAGGCUGCCCUAUCCGCUGAUCAAACAGCAUAUACUUUCGCGGUGGACAUCAGGGGCGCACCGAGUGCGCGCGCGCGAGAACGGGGAGAGAGCGAGAGAGAGAGACCCCGAGAGAAAGAGAGGCAGGAGGGAGAGAGGGGGGCCGUGUGUGUGUGCAGCAUGGAAGAGGAGUUCGCCAGUAGCGCUGCCAAACGACGCGGCAACGCCGGCGUCGGUGCUGGUUAUGUACCGCUGCAUAGUAGCACCUUCCAGCACCUGACGGCACCUCUUAUGCGCAAUGACGGGUGCGCUGGAGAACGCACGAAGCUGCAGCACGAAUUUUCGAACGACACAAACGAGUAUGCCUUCAGCAACUCGUCCACGUCGCCGCCGCUCUUUACGGGGCGUGCAUGGGCGCUCCGUUCGCCCGAGCAGCGCGCACACGCGUCAGCGACCUCGGACCCGAACUUGCCGCACCCGAAGUGCCCGGCUAUCAGCGGCGGCACAGCUAAAACGCGGCAUCGACAAUUUUUUUUGCAUGCGGGUAAUCGCCGCCCUCUGCGGCUUGCAAUGGCGAUGGUCGUCGCCGCCUGCAUCCUUCUCUCGUCACUCACCGUGCUGCUAUUCCGCGAUUCUGAUCUCCCAUUAAAGCCGCGGCGUGUCUUGAACAUCACCACACUGCAGCCGAUAGAAGAGCUGAGAGGCUGGGCUCAAGAAACUGGCGUCUUGGUGCAGCAUGAGGGCGCCCUGACGCGGCUCGACCUCACUGCUGCUCAGCGAGCCUGCAUCGUGGCCGGCGCUCCGUAUGCCGCCUGCGAGCUGGUCCGCCUCAGCGCCAAAGAGCUGCCCUCGUGGACACUGCACGUUGUGAAAAAGAAGUGCCACGACUGCAUGGACACAUACACUUACCGCACCACUGUGAAAGCCGUGCAACUGCACAAGCGCCAUGGCGUGUACGCGACGUCGUCUGCACCGCUGGGCCGCGUCGGGCCGAUGCUGCUGGCGAUGACGAGCGUGACGGACGACGUGAAUGUGCGCACGGAGCUGCCGCAGUGGGAGUGGCUGCGGCACGUGUACGGUGAAGGGUUUCCGACCGUGGGUGGCGCUGGCGAGGGGGCUGCGCAGCCGCGGACACCGUAUCUUGCCGUGAUGGGCAUCCCGUCGACGGAUCAGCCGGCGCGUGCUGCGCUGCGUGAGGCACAGCGCAGGACAUGGCUGACGUACCAGGAGGUGGCGCGCACGGAGAACCACUUCGAUGCCGCGCUGCUGGCGCUGUACGUCUUCGCCGCGGUGGAGCCCAAGGUGGCCCCGAAUGCAUCAGAGAGCUCUUCAGCAUCCGCGCGCAACGGCACGUCAGCUGCCGAGCCGAGGCGAGGGCGCCUGAGUGCGCUGCUGCCGACGACGGCGGAGUACAAGGCUGCCACCGAGGCGCUUCUGGCGGCGACUGCGCAGGCCGAGGGCAUUGACGACUUGGCCGACGAGGGCAUUGUGCAGCGCCGGAUGGAGCUCCGCCGCGACUGGAACAUCGCUGCCGUCGAGGACACACCGUGUGCGGAGGUGGUCAGCCGCCGCGUGACUGUCGGCACGGAGACGUCUGCGCUGUCGUACCUGAGCGGCGCCCUGUCGCUCCCCGUGACACCCGCGUUCACGUCGCCGGCGGAGUACGUCUGCCACGCGUCGUCUGCGCUGUGGCAGGAGGCGCUGACGCACCGCAACGUUGUGUGGAUCGACAUGAUGACGGACCGCCGGCCGACCACGAACAAGAAGAUCGGCGAGGACGGCAAGUGGGGCCUUCCCGUGGAGGUGGGAAUGAGCCAGAAGCUGAUCCUGUGGCUGGAGUACGCGUACCACGCCUUCAAGGAUGUGCCGUUCAUCAUCAAGGGCGAUGACGAUGCCUACGUGAAGGUGCCGCAGUUCCUGAGCGAUGUGCGGUACGUGCGCAACGGGGUGAAACGCGGGCGUUUUCCACCGCCGCCGCCACGGCAUCCGGCGAUGACCGGGGCGGGAGGCUCGCCGACCACACAGGCCGCGACGCCGAGGAGAGUCGUGCACAACUACGAUCGGCUGCCAGUGGAUAGAACGAAGUGCUUCUACUGGGGCAGCGGCCGCCGCAUGCUGGGCGUUCGCUUCAAUGCGGGCAUGCUGUUCAUGCUGCACCGCCGCCUCGCACAGGUUAUACUGGAGCCGCCACAAAGCAGCUCCGACGCCGAUCUGCGCAUGCUGGCGGUGGCAGACUACUCCAACGAUCGGAGGUCGCUGUACCGUCAAGCGGGUCUGCAUCACGAAGACGUGAUGAUCGGCGUGACACUCCGGAAUCGAUAUAAUCGCUCGAUGGAGCUGUGCGAUGAUGAGACGAUCUGGUACGUGAAGGAAGGCUACGACCGCUUCCACGACUUGCAUCGCGGGAAGCUGAAUACCGUGACGUGGUCAACCGUCGUAGCACACCGCUGCCGACCAGCCGACGCGUAUUUCUUGCACUACUACUUCCAGAACGAGUACAGCGCCUCCACCGUGGAGAUAGCGCGCGGGGACGAUCGGGAGGAGCUGGCGAUCGAGGCGGCAGCGGAGUGGGUGGCAGAGCAGCGUAACGCGUUUCCUGACAGUGUACCAGGGUGGGACGAUCUGCCGUCGGUGCUGUGGACGCAUGGGGCAUCCGCGGCACCGGAGUAUGUUGUUGCGACCGGUGACGACGUCGCCGUGUACAACUACAGCUACCAGUACUGGAGGGACAGCUCUACCUUUGUUUGGAACGGCUACAGAUCGAGUCGGUGAGACGAGGCGAGGCGCAACCGAACCGAGCGAGGGACAAGCUGCACGGCGGCCACGACGCCAACGUCACCAGGCCGAGGUGGCUGGGACCACUGCACAUGAAGAGCCCUGCGUGUGUGCGUGUGCUUGUCGGACGGUGAGCUUCGCGGGAGGGCCCCACGGAACACGUCGCGCCGCUACCUUGCACGCCGGACACGAGCAUUUUCGCGCGUGAAGCCGUUGAUCAGCAGCGGCAGAACUGCCAUGGCAACGGAGCGGGGCGCCGUCUUGGUGAACGCCGUCUCUCGGAAUGUCUUGCCGGCCCGCUUUGGUGCCGGAGGGUCUCGCCCCUGCUUCGGAUGGCGACCGCUCGGGCUGCGGACUUCGCCCUCUCCAUAUCCGGCAUCCACAGCCGGCCCACCGCAGCUGUACACAUGUAGCUCACACACUUGUGUGUCUGUGUGCUUCGCACGCGGCGGCGAACGGGUGGCGCAGGAGGGAAGCAAGCUGAAGGACGGCACGGCUAGAUGCUGCCUGUAGUGCCGCGCACAUGCUUGUGCAGUUGCGCUUGUAUGACCUCCGUGUAGAAAAGGACGAUAGACAAGAACACCCGAAGCCAUCACUCCCCACCCCCUCCACACCCCCAUCGCUGCGGCGAACAGCAGACGAGCGCGACGACGAGCGGAGCGCGAUAUCCGGCCUCCGUUAUUGUCCCGCCGUGCCCGCAUGCCCGCACCGUUGCUGGCGCGUGCCCCUUCCUCUGCUGCGCACAUUGCGGCUGUGGCACCCCCUCUCCCCCUCACACACGCACAUAUAACACAGAAGGCGUUUCCGGGGGGGUGCGGAGGACACACAUACGCCUCAGGGCGCGGUAUCGCAGGGCCCGGUGCACUCCCCCACCCCCUCCUAUCCCACGCCCAUGCCGAACCGCCUCUCGUCAUGACGGUGCCCGGUGCCUGCGACGUGGCGAGGAUAACGCGAUCCAUCGCAGCAGAUGCCGGCGGUGAGCACGCUUGCGCCAUCCAUAUGAUGGGCAACGCGCCAGCGCGGCCCACACCCGCGGCCCUCGCACGGCCCACUCGUGCGGGGUGCCUGAGCCCCCGCGAUGGGGCGGGGCGGGAUGCACCAGGGGUGGUGACCGGCAUGGUUGGGGAGCGGGUGUGAGGCCGCCCAGCGGAGCGGCUAGGUGGAUGUGUGUGGGCAGCGUUUUGGGGGCGGAGGCGGUGCUCCGCCGACGGCGUCGGGUGCGGGGAGUGGGGAGGGGUGUGAGUCGAGCGGCGUGUGGACCUCGUGUUGUGUGGCGGAGCAACGCCCACUAACGAGCGAAGGAUGCUGCUGCGUGAUGUGGUGCAUGUGUCUGCGUGUAGGACUUCUCUCGCACAUCGCGCCCACCCAAGCAAGGAAAGCAGAACGAAACGCACUGACAGGCAGAGGCGGCCAGACACACGCCUCCGCUCGCAUCGAUGCCUCUGUGUGUG
rnacentral:misc_RNA from 1 species